rnacentral:rRNA from 1 species
UAACCUGCCCAAGAGACUGGGAUAACACCUGGAAACAGAUGCUAAUACCGGAUAACAACACUAGACGCAUGUCUAGGGUUUAAAAGAUGGUUCUGCUAUCACUCUUGGAUGGACCUGCGGUGCAUUAGCUAGUUGGUAAGGUAACGGCUUACCAAGGCAAUGAUGCAUAGCCGAGUUGAGAGACUGAUCGGCCACAUUGGGACUGAGACACGGCCCAA